CAGUAGCCGACGUGAGAGGUGAACGGCCCACAUUGGGACUGAGACACGGCCCAGACUCCUACGGAAGGCAGCAG
rnacentral:rRNA from 1 species